UAAGUGCUGGCCGUUGUCCUCU
rnacentral:miRNA from 1 species